rnacentral:rRNA from 1 species
AUUGAACGCUGGCGGCAGGCCUAACACAUGCAAGUCGAGCGAGCGGCGGACGGGUGAGUAAUGUAUGGGGACUGCCCGAUAGAGGGGGAUAUCUAUUGGAAACGGUAUCUAAUACCGCAUACUCCCUGAGUACCCAUAUGGGAUUAGCUAGUAGGUGAGGUAAUGGCUCACCUAGGCGACGAUCCCUAGCUGGUCUGAGAGGAUGAGCAGCCACACUGGGACUGAGACACGGCCCAGACUCCUACGGAGGCAGCAGUGGGGAAUAUUGCACAAUGGGCGCAAGCCUGAUGCAGCCAUGCCGCGUGUAUGAAGAAGGCCCUAGGGUUGUAAAGUACUUUCAGUCGGGAGGCGUUACCGACAGAAGAAGCACCGGCUAACUCCGUGCCAGCAGCCGCGGUAAUAC